rnacentral:rRNA from 1 species
CAAUAGCGUAUAUUAAAGUUGUUGCAGUUAAAAAGCUCGUAGUUGGAUUUCGGGGUGGCCUGCCUGGUCCACCGCAAGGUGAGUACUGGUCAGCCGCCCUUCCUCUCGAAAGCCCCGACUGCUCUUCAUUGCAGUGGUCGGGUAGUUCGGGACGUUUACUUUGAAAAAAUUAGAGUGUUCAAGGCAGGCUAUCGCCUGAAUACAUUAGCAUGGAAUAAUGGAAGAGGACCUCGGUCCUAUUUUGUUGGUUUCUAGGGCCGAAGUAAUGAUUAAGAGGGACAGUUGGGGGCAUUCGUAUUUAAUUGUCAGAGGUGAAAUUCUCGGAUUUAUGAAAGACGAACUAGUGCGAAAGCAUUUGCCAAGGAUGUUUUCAUUAA